rnacentral:lncRNA from 1 species
CAUGAAGCAGACAUUUACUAAUUUAGUCUGAUCUAAUUAGAAUGACUUUUUACAUAAAACUUUGUUGUUCUCUUAUUGUAGUUCUCCUUUUCUGCUUUCUAUUAAGGUUGGUGAAUACUUGCUUUAUUCUUCUCAGCCUCCUGCUCUGUCAGCUUUUGCAAUAAGUUUCUCAUUUUUAGAUCAGUGCAGCCUCUAUACAGUAUUAGCAUGUUUGUCUCAUUUAAUAGGAUCAAAAUAUUUUUAUGUGAAAUCUGUCUCAAUAGUACAACUCCCAGCCCAGGUGAAAAAGAAUUUUUAUUAAUAUCUUAAGUCACUUGAACUUGUGUCAACAUGGUCAUGUAGCUAUUGACAGGGCAUCUUUUAAACUUUGUUUUAUUCAAUAACACUGCAUCAAGUACUCACAUUUCAACUUUUUUGUUAGGGACUUGAAAUACAAAGAGAGGGAAAAUGAAGUCCUGGUUGUCUAGUAGGGGCAAUAUUUAAUUAGGAAUUGAAAAUUCAUUUAAUUUUUCUAAAAUAGAAUCUUUGAUUCUUUUCUUGAUUAGUUCCAUGUUGUAUGACACUAAGCACUUAUUUUGUAUGGACGUUAGCAUGAUAGAAACACAAUAUUUAAUUUUUAACUUAUGAGUUGUGUGGAAAAUAAAGCGGUUUAUCUGAGAAGGGAGAGAAAUGAAUUCCGAUAGCUUUCAGUAUUCCAGAGCUUUCACUCCUUGUCACACAAAUACAAAACCAUAUCAAAAUGGCUUUAUAUAUAUCCUUUUGGUCAAAGCCAUUCUAGCAUUAUCACUAGGGAAAGAAGGAAUAUGAAAAGAAGGAUGUAUGUCUUUAUGUGUAACAACAAAUCCAACUGUAGAAUGUAUGAAAUCCUUGGUAUUAAACAUGUCAUGAUAAGAUCUACUGGGAAAAAGGGAAAUAUCUGUUGAAAUUUUUCUAGAUUUCAAUUAAUGAGAGUGGGAAUCAGCUUGAUUCAAUGGUUGAAUUGACGCCAAAGAAUAUGAACUAUAGUCACAGCUUAGCUCACUUUGGGUUUUGAUGCUUCACAUUUUUCAUGUCAGUAAUUUCCAUGGAUGUCUUGCGUUUCUACAUGUCUUAUGAACAAAGGCACUUUCUGCCUUAUCUUAGACUAUCUGUUUAAGGAUAUUUGUAUAGUAAAUAGCCUUGGAAGAGAAGAACAAUGUCUAGCUCCAGAGCAAAGGGCAGGUUGGUUUACUCUUCACUCUGAUAAAGUAACGUCUACCUCUGGGGCAAAGGUUAAGCAGGCUUACUGCUCAUUACAAGAGAUUUGGGUUUCCUAAGCUCAAGAGUUCCUUUCCUGCAAUGCACCCCACUGUAUGUACAGGUAUCACCUGGCCCCCUUUUCAGUGACCCAUGGAAACUGGGGUUCAGAGACCUGGAGCAAAAAUGAUGAUAUUCUGGCUACUGCUGAUGCUGUUAGCAAAAAAUUGCAGGCUAACUUGUAAGCCUGCAAGUAAGGUAAAAAUCUCCGACCCUUCACAGUUCUCGGCAAAUGCAAGAGGUUAGAACUGAUUUCAUAUUAUAGAACCAAAUGACGCUAAAAUGUGGACCCUCCAUAAUUAUUUAUCAGUGGCAUGAUACCAAAUUCUUUCUAUCUUUUUUUCCAAAAGUCAUCCAACUUUAUUACUAUUAUUAUUAUAAAUGUGACAAAAACAAGGAUAAUAAUUUGAAUGCUCCAGGUAGAAAUAUUCCCCCAAGGAAUAUUAUAAUAGGAUAAUUGCAUGUUGAUUUUUUGUUUGUUUGUUUUUUCAUAGGCAUCUGAGCUAACAUCUGUUGCCAAUCUUUUUUUUCUGUUGUCUUGUUUUUGUUUGUUUGUUUAUUUCUUCUUCUCUCCUAAGCCCCCCACUACAUAGUUGUAUAUUCUAGUUGUAGGUCCUUUUGGCUCUGCUAUGUGGGAUGCAGCCUCAGAAUGGCUUGAUGAGCAGUGCUAGGUUCAUGCCAGUGAUCUGAACCUGUGAACCCUGGGCCGCCGAAGUGGAGCGCGCCAACUCAAACACUAUGCUACCAGGCGGGCCCCUGGCAUGUCGUAUUCUCAUUUUCAUUUGUCUCCAGGUAUUUUUUUAUUCCUCCUUUGAUUUCUUCAUUGAUCCAAUCUUUGUUCAGUAACGUUUUGUUUAAUCCUCACAUAUUUGUGGCUUUUCUGAUUUUCUUCCUGUAGUUGAUUUUUAGUUUCAUAUCGUUGUGGUCAGAAAAGAUGCUUGGUAUUAUUUCAGUCUUCUUAAAUUUAUUGAGACUUGUUUUGUGGCCUAAUAUGUGAUCUAUCCUGGAGAAUAUUUCAUGUGCAUUUGAAAAGAAUGUGAAUUCUGUGGUUUUCAGAUGGAAUGUUCUGUAUAUAUCUUCUAUUAAGUAUUUCUGGUUUAAUGUGUCAUUUGAGGCCAAGGUUUCCUUAUUGAUCUUCUGUUUGGAGAUCUAUCCAUUCAUGUGAGUGGAGUGUUAUUUGAUUAUUGAGUGUUAUUAUUGAUUACUGUCUAUUUCUCAUUUUAUGUCUGUCAAUAAUUGCUUUAUAUAUUUAGGUACCCCUAUGUUGGGUGCAUAGAUAUUUACAGGUGUUAUAUACUUUUGCUGGAUUGUUCUCUUAUCAUUAUGCAGUGCCCUUCUUUGUCUCUUGUUAGAGUUUUUGUCUUAAAGUCUAUUUUGUCUGAUAUAAGUAUUGGUACCCCAGCUUUCUUUUCAUUGCCAUUUGCAUGGAGUCUCUUUUUCCAUGUUUUAACUUUCAGUUUGUGAGUGUCUUUAGGUCUGAAGUGUGUCUCUUGUAUGCAGCAUAUAUAUGGGUCUUGUUUUUUCAUCCAAUCAGCUACCAUAUACCUUUUGAUUGGAGAUUUAGUCCAUUGACAUUUAAAGUUGCUAUUGAUAAGUGUGUACUUAUUGACAUUUUGUUACUUUUUCCUGGGUGCUUUAGUAGUUCUUCUCUGUCCCUUUCUGCUUCUUUUGCUCUCUUCCCUUGUGGUUUGAUGGGUAUCUUCAGUAUUAUGUUUGAGUUCCUUUCUCUUAAUUUUUUGUGUCUUUAUUAUAUGUUUCUGGCUUGUGGUUUCCAUGAGGUUCAUAUAGUAACCUAUGUAUAUAGUGAUCUGUAUUAAGUUGAUUGUCUCUUUGCGUUGACCUCUUGCUAAAAGCUCUACUCUUUUACUCCCCUCCUCCUACAUUUAAUGCUUUUGAUGUCAUACCUAACCUCUUUUUUUUUGUGUGCGUGUGUAUCCAUUACCCUCUUAUCAAGGAAAUAGAUAAUUUUAGUACUUUUGUCUUUUGAUCUUCAUAUUAUCUUCAUACGUGGUUUAUCUGCUACGUUUAGUGUAUUUUUGCCUUUACCAGUGAUUUUAUUGCUUUUUUUUGGGAUAAUUUUCUUAUUCCUAUUUGUGGUCUUCUCUUUCUCACUUAAAUAAGUCCGUUUAACAUUUCCUGUAAUGCUGGCUUCUUGGUGAUAAACUCUUCUAGGUUUUGCUUGUCUGGGAAACUCUAUCUCUCCUUCCAUCUGAAUGAUAACCUUGCUGAAUAGAGUAUUCUUGGCUGUAGGUUUUUUCCUUUCAGCACUUUCAAUAUAUCAUGCCACUCCCUUCUAGUCUCUAAGGUUUCUGCUGAGAAGUUAGCUGAUAGUCUUAUGGGAUUUCCUUUGUAUGUAACUUGUUGCCUUUCUCUUAGGGCAUUUAGGAUUCUCUCUUUAUCUUUACUUUUGGACAUUUUAAUUAUAAUGUGUCUUGGUGUGGGCCUCUUUGGGUUUAUCUUGUUCGGUGCUCUCUGUGCUUCCUAUACCUGGAUAUCUAUUUCCUUCUUAGGUUAGGAAAAUUUUCAGCUAUUAUUUCUCCAAAUAGAUUCUCUGCCCCUUUGUCUCUCUCUUCUCCUUCUGGGACAUCUAUAAUAUGAAUGUUAGUGUGCUUGAUGUUGUUCCAGAGGUCUCUUAAUCCGUCCUCAUUCUUUUUAAUUCUUUUUUCUUUUAUCUGGUCAGCUUGGGUGAUUUCCUCUAGUCUUUUGUCCAGUUUGUUGGUCCGUUCUUGGGCUAUUGAGUCCCUCUAGUGAAAUUUUCAUUUCCAGUAUUGUAUUCUUCAUUUCUGAUUGGUUCUUUUUUUAAAAAAACUUUUUAUUGAGAUUAUGAUAGUUUAGAACCAUGUGAAAUUUCAGUUGUACAUUAUUGUUUGUCAGUCAUAUUGUAUGUGCACCACUUCACCCUUUGUGCCUACCCCCCAGUCCCCUUUUCCCCUGGUAACCACUAAUCAGUUCUCUUUGUCUACAUGUUUAACUUCCGCAUAUGAGUGGAGUGAUACAGAGAUUGUCUUUCUCUAUCUGGCUUAUUUCACUUAACAUAAUACCCUCAAGGUCUAUCCACAUUGUUGUGAAUGGGAUGAUUUUAUCCUUUUUUAUGGCUGAGUAGUAUUCCCAUAUAUAUAUAUAUAUAUAUAUAUAUAUAUAUACGUGUUCUUUAGCCAAUCAUCAGUUGAUGGGCACUUAGGUUGCUUCCACGUCUUGGCUAUUGUAAAUAAUGCUGCAAUGAACAUAGGGGUUCAUGGGACUUUUGGAAUUGCUGAUUUCAAGUUCUUUGGAUAGAUACCCAGAAAUGGGAUGGCUGGGUCAUAUGGUAUUUCUGUUUUUAACUUUUUGAGAAAUCUCCAUACUGUUUUUCAUAGAGGCUGCACCAGUUUGCAUUCACACCAGCAGUGUAUGAAGGUUCAUUUUUCUCCACAACUUGUCCUACAUUUACUACUUUUUGUUUUGGUUAUUUUUGCCAUUCUGACCAGUGUAGGGUGAUAUCAUAGUGUUGUUUUGAUUUGCAUUUCCCUGAUGAUCAGUGGUGAUGAGCAUCUUUUCAUGUGCCUAUUGGCCAUCCAUACAUUUCCUUUGGAGAAAUGUCUGUUCAUGUCCCCUGCCCAUUUUUUGAUUGGGUUGUUUGAUUUUUUGUUGUUGAGUUGUGUGAGUUCUUUACAUAGUAUGGAGAUUAACCCUUUGUCAGAUAUAUGACUUGCAAAUAUUUUUUCCCAAUUGGUGGGUUGUUUUUUGUUUCAAUCCUGUUUUCCCUUGCCUUGAAGAAGUUCUUUAAUCUGAUGAAGUCCCAUUUGUUUAUUCUUUCCAUCGUUUCCCUUGUCUGAGAAGACAUGGUUUCCAAAAAAUCCUUUUAAGACUGAUGUCAAAGAGUGUACUGCCUAUAUUUUCUUCUAGAAACCAUAUGGUUUCAGGUCUUACCUUUAGGUCUUUGAUCCAUUUUGAGUUUAUUUUUGUGAAUGGUGAGAAAGAGUGGUCAAUUUUCAUUCUUUUAUAUGUGGCUGUCCAGUUUUCCCAGCACCAUUUGUUGAAGAGACUUUCAUUUCUCCAUUGUAUACCCUCAGCUCCUUUGUUGAAGAUUAGCUGUCCAUGGAUGUGUGGUUUUAUUUUUGGGCUUUCAAUUCUGUUCCAUUUUUUCCAUGUGUACCUGUUUUUGUACAAGUACCAUGCUAUUUUGAUUACUGUAGGUUUGUAGUAUGUUUUGAAGUCAGGGAUUGUGAUGCCUCCAGCUUUGUUCUUUUUUCUCAGGAUUGCUUUAGCAAUUCAGGGUCUUUUGUUGCCCCAUAUGAAUUUUAGGAUUCUUUGUUCUAUUUCUGCAAAGAAUGUCAUUGGGAUUCUGAUUGAGAUUGCAUUGAAUCUGUAGAUUGCUUUAGGUAGUAUGGACGUUUUAACUGUGUUUAUUCUUUGAUUGGUUCUUUUUUAUAUUUUCCAGUUCUUUGUUGAAGUUCCCACUGGGUUCAUCCAUUCUUCUCCCAAGAUCAGUAAGCAUUCUUAUAACUUUCUGUUUGAACUCUUUGUCAGGUAGAUUAUUUAUUUCUGUUUCAUUUAGUUCUUUUUCUGGAGUUUUGACCUUUUCCCUUACUUAAACAUAUUCCUUUGUCUCCUCAUUUUGCCUCUUUCUCGGUGCUUAUACAUGUAUAUUAGGUACGUCAGCCAUGUCUCCCAAUCUUGGAGAGGUGCCCUUAUGUAAGAGGUGCCUUAUGAAGCCCAGGAGUGUGCUUCCCUCUCAUCACCAGUUCCAAAUGUUGCAGGAGUGUCCCCUCUAUGAGCUAAGUGUCUCUUUCUGUUGUGGUUGGCUUGCUCUUGCUGCAGAUGCCCAGGUAGGCUAGGCUGUCUCCCUGGCUGGCUGGUUGUAAUGCUCAGCUGCGUGUGGCUACUAUGGACCCUUCAGUCACUUUCUUGGGGAUAGGGAACCCUAGCACAGUUGACUGCAAGGUCUAAUAGCACAUUUCUGUUGCAGUUUUUCUGUUAAGUGAGUAGGCCCCCAGUGUGGCUAGUUACUAGGCUCAGGGGCUAACAAUUGCUGUAGGCCUCUGGCCCUCAAGGCUGUUGUCAGUUCUUUCAGGCUUGCAGUUGCUGCAUGUGGGUCAGCCCCAGGCAUGGGAGCACCCAAUUGUUUCAGGCUUUGGAAGGUGGGGCUGAUCUCCUAUGUGGCUGUUUGGGAAGCAUAAGUCUACUGCAGCUGACAAGCUCCACUGCCUGCAGGGCCACAUACCUGGUCAACACAGUCCUACUCCGUGUGCAUACCUCAACCCACUGAGGCAGACCCAGUCACCCCACUGCUUAUACCCCACACAGUCCACCAAUGCAGGCCCACCUCUCGUGCAUGCCCUGCCCCACAGAGGUGGACCCAUUUGCCAGGCUGCUAAGGUUACAGGCACCCCACGUAUGCUGGCCCACAAGUUGCCCAAGGGCUUGCUGUUGGGUGGGGCCGGUCCCUAGGGUGGGCUGCCUGCCCUGGCUGAGCUGGAUUAAAUUGGUGCUAUAGUGGGUGAGGCAGACCCUAGGCUAACAGGCAAGGGAAAGAAUUCCAAUGGUGUCUGACAGGGUCUGUGUGAGCAUACCUGGACUAGGUCACAAUAGUGGUUACCUCCAAUGUCUCAAUCUCUGGAGAGGUCUCAGCUCUUACUGAGAUGCACGCAGAGGUCUCACCUCUCAUCAAGAUGCCUAUCAGGCAAGUCUCUUUUCACCGAAGGACUGUGCACCUUUCUUCCUGGUGAUUUUAAGUUGCUUUCCAAAACGGACAAAUUUGUGCAUGGGCCCUUUAAGUGCAGGGUUUUUUCCCUUUAUGUCCAAUAGCUUUUCUGAGGGUAUUCCCUGUUGUUGGUAGUAGCCAGGAAAGCCAGAUAUUAUGACAUUUAUCUCAGUUGUGCUGAGUCCAAAAGCUGCUUAUAGUGGUAAUGCUCCCCUGCUCAGAUCCCCAGUUCCUCCAGAGAAGGAUUCGUACCUGAGCAUUUCUCCUGGCAGGCUGUGAAGUGCUGCAGCUCACAAAGGAGGUGAUUUUUUCUCUCCAGAAAGGAAUUUCUGCCUCUUCCAACUCAGUCAGCACUGUUUCUUGUUGCAGGGUUCCUUUUUAUCCAGUUUUCAGUUCUCUCUCAGGAGUAAUUGUUUGAAGAGUCAUUGUAAAUUUGUUGUGUCCAUGGGAGGAGGUGAGUUCAGAUUCUGCCUACACUGCCAUCUUGACAUCAUCUCCAGGUGUGUUUUUAAAACGAGGCUUUAAUAAACUUCAUCUGCUGCUUUCAUAUUCUUUUAGUUAUUCCUUAUUAUAAUGGCUCAAAUAAAGACAAAAAUCAUAGCAAACACUGAGAGCUUAUCAAGUGCCAGGUGUUGUUCUAAGCUCUCUCCAUAUUACUUCAGUUAACCAUCAAAAAGCUAAUAGAACUAUUAUUGUUAUCUCUAUUGUACAAGUGAGGAAACAGAUUAUAGGGAGGAUAGAUAACUUGCCCAAGGUCACACAACUAGUUAUCAGGACAAUAUGGAGUCAAGAAAGACUGCUUGAUUCUAGGCUGGGUCUUAAUCAGUAUGCCUCUUAAAGAAGGGUGGAUGCACAAGUGCAUAUAUUAAAGAUGAUCCACAAUUUGCAGCAACUAACUAGAAGAGAUAGAAAAAGAACUGAAAUGCAAACUAUUUUGAAACUUAACUUUCUGUUGCAGCAAACUAGAAUUUGGCUUUAAAAAACAUUCUUGUUUCUUUAUCCUUGGAAGGUAUUCAUAUUCCAUGCAUUUUUGCUGGAGCCCAUUUAACGUGGGUACUGAUAGGGAGUAACGUGGGUACAUUGUACUUGACCUGAGACUGAAUUUUAUAAAGACUAUGCCACAUAACAAAUGUAUAAUAACUGUUUUUUUGUAGAUAGAGGAUUGUAUUAGAAUUCUAAAUUUCCAUCUCACUUCAUUCUUUAUUUUUAUUUUUUUACUUUUCUUAAAGAUUGGCACCUGAGGUAAUAUCUGUUGUCAAUCUUCUUUUUUUUCUUCUUCUUCUCCCCAAAGCCCCCCAGUACGUAGUUGUAUAUUCUAGUUGUAGGUCCUUCUGGCUCUGCUAUGUAGGACACCGCCUCAGCAUGGCUUGAGCAAUGGUGCCGGUUCUGCACCCAGGAUCCAAACCAGUGAAACCCUGGGCUGCCAAAGUGGAGCACGUGAAUUUAAUCACUCGGCCACAGAGCUGGCCCCUGCUAUCUCAUUUUAGACAAGUCUAUAGUUCCAGUUUACAAAUGUCUCAUGCCCAUCACCCCUUUGUUGGAAUGUAUAUCCAGAUCUUAGGUUAUAAUAUAGUAUUGGUUCUGUGGUAAAUUUUACGUGUCUUUUGUAUGGUAUGAUAGUCAAUUAAGUAACUGCAAGUGUUGUCUGAUGUUGAUUCAAUUCACCGACAUUUUAGAGUAAUUCUAAAAGUGUGUAGAACACACAGGCUAAAAAAUAAAUAGGUCAAGAAUCAGAAACCCUAGAGCCUUGAAGGAAUUUUGUAAUAUUAUAUAAGAAAAUUAACUUCUUCAAAAUGGUAGCUGUUACUGAGUUCUUGGAGUUUUAAUGUUUUUUUUUGGUAAGGAAGAUUUGCCCUGAGCUAACAUCCAUUGCCAGUCUUCGUGUUCUUUUUGCUUGAGGAAGAUUAGCCCUGAGCUAACAUCUGUGCCAACCUUCCUCUAUUUUGUCUGUGAUAUGCCUCCACAGUGUGGCUGAUAAGCGGAGUAGGUCUGCACCUGGGAUCUGAACCACAACCCGGACCACUGAAGUGGAGCACACAGAACUUUAACCACUUGGCCAUAGGACUGAGUUUUAAUUUUUAAGCAACCUCUAAAUGGAAUACUUUCAAGUAUGUACAUUACAAGCUACCUAUUAUUCUUUAUCAUCGAGGAAGAAUUCUUUCCUAAGAAGAUAAUGCCGAUGACUGAAAGCUGGAAUUUCAGAUUCUAAUGUGUGUUCCCUGUCACAGGGGAGAAUGAGUAUCAGGAGGGUGAACAACUCAGCAUAACCUGUAACCAAGACUGGAGAAAAAGCAACGUAGAUUUGCUCUCUUUUUUCUAAUGAUAGUCCUGCAACAUUAUUUCAGCUGUUGGACCGUGGCACACAAGGAGGAUGGUAGAAUUGUCAGGUUAUAAGAACCUUGAUAAAAAAGUAAACAACAACAAAAAGACAUUUUCAAUUUGUUUCUUUUAUUUUAACUACGAUUUAUAGCAGUAAUCAUCUGGUGCUCUUGACCAAAACUCAGCUUUCUGUGCAAUACAUUUCAGAAAUAUUCCACGAGAACAAGAUAUUGACUUGCCUUGGGUUAAAGGAGACUGCACAUGUUGUUGUAAGGGGGUGGGAGGUGAAAGAGGCCCCUGAUGUUAAACACAAUAAAUUUUAUGACUGGAGUUCUGAGAAAGCAAUGGGGCUUCUUAAUCUGGGCUCAGCUCCAUCGCUUUCAAUGAGGAAUUCUUAAUAUAAAUGCACCGGAUCAAUCUGGAUUCAAUUGAAAGCAUACUGUAACAUGCAGAAUAUUUCUCUCAAGUCUUUGCUGCCAAUGAAUCAUCUCAUAAUAGAAUGCCCUAUUGAUUUCAAUAGAAAAGUUAUUUAGUGAAUAGUGUGAGUACAUAAAGGAAUAGUUUUAAAAAAAUGUUAAUGUAACCAAGCAGCAAAAAAUUGCUAAUAUUUGAAAUUAUUGAAAGAUGUAUAUUGGGAAGUACCCCAAAGGAUGCUUAUUGAAACACAUGAUUCUUUUACCAUGAGGCACAGUAUAAGAGAUGUGUUAUUAUGGGAAGAAAGAAAUCUAAGAUUGGCAUGAAAGCAAUAGAUUCAUGAAAAGUCCUUAUGAAAUCUACUAAUGCAUAUUAAAUGCCUAUUAUAGCUCAAUAUUGUGCUAACAUGCUAGGAUAAUGAUUUUUUUCUGUUUCUCUUUUUGAGGAAGAUUAGCCCUGAGCUAACUGCUGCCGAUCCUCCUCUUUUUGCUGAGGAAGUCUGGCCCUGAGCUCACAUCCAUGCCCAUCUUCCUCUACUUUAUAUGUGGGACGCGUGCCACAGCAUGGCUUUUGCCAAGAAGUGCCAUGGCUGCACCCGGGAUCCGAAAUGGCGAAACCCGGGCAGCUGAAGUGGAACAUGUGAACUUAACCGCUACACCACCGGGCCAGCCCCUAGGAUAAUGAUUUUUAAAGUGUAGGGAUGGGGACAUUACAGAAUCUGUCAUGGAUUUUUCAAAUAACUGCUCCUAGAGGAUUGUAUCAAUACUGGAGGGUAGGUGGCACGUAGGGAUGAUCUUGAAACAGUUACCACCUUGUCCCACCCACUUAUUUUGAGAACUUGGAAGCCCCUAGCCUGGAUCAGUUUACAUACAAGAUAUAGCAGGAGGCAAAACUUUUAGAAGAGUUAGAUCAAGGAGUUGAAUAGCCUGGUAGCCAAUCUAUUAGUAACCUUGGAUUUUCACAUGUGACUCCUUAUACAGCCCUUCCUAAAGACACAGUCAGCCUCAACGACUAAAAGUUUCAAAAUAAAAAGCACCCUUAACAAUUACCCAUCUAAAGAAGUGAGAGAAAAGGCACAGAGGACAACUGUAGGCCAUGCUACCUACCAAUCCUGAGCCAAUCAGUUGGCAAUCACCCAAAAUCAGCAGUCAUGGAAGCUGAAUUUCUGAAAAUGAAUGAUAAGUGGAAAAAUACAAUUUACUAGAAAAAAGUAUUUUCUUUGAGCUAAAGUUUCAGCCCUUUAAUAUGCCUCCCAAGACUGCUUCUCUAGGCUACUGCAUAAGAAAACCCUAGCAAGAACGAAAAUUGUAGAUAGGUUGGAAAUAUUUUGCUAACACAAAAUCCAGAAAAAACCCCACACAUUUUAGAAAAGAAUUUUAAACGAUAUCCCUGUAAGUUACCUUCAGUUUCUUUGAGUGUGAGUAAUGUGAUCCAGUUGUGAUUGAUGAGAAAAAUGUGAAUGAAAGAUAAUCCAAAUAAGUUCAAUAUUAUGCAUAUGAUAAAUCCCGCAAUCUGAAUAUGAAAAAAAGAGUCUUAUACUUUCAUGAACAUAAAAAAAAUCAGGUUUCUUCCCUCCAAGUAAAUGCUAAAUUCAUGUUGAAAGGCUAUGGAUUUGAUGGAGUCCUAGGUUUUUAGUCUGCUUGGAGUAGUUUGAUUUGCCCCCAACUUAUAGAUGUGAAAUAAAAUCAAGUGUAAGAUAGUCUGGAACAGUCAUUACUAAUUGUGAUGGAUAAGAAAGAAUUCAGGGAAACACUGAGAAGUGAGCUGACCCUUAAAGGGAGUUCAGGAAUUGAGUUAGAAAAGAAAAAAAAGGCUGAUGGGGGGCAUGUUGACUUAUUUUCUGCGAUUUUUUUGUCCAUUUGUGAAAUGCUUUUGUUUUAGUUAAGUGGAUUAUGAGUUCAACCAGUCUACAGUCAUGUGUGGCUGAAAACAACGCACUAUUGAAUUUCCAAAGUAGCCAACUGGCAUUUUUACUUUUUAAAGUAUUAUAUAGUAAGAAGAGAUAGAGACUAAGGGCUAUCUUCUCUGUUCCUCUGGGUCCUUCACCAAGACAUCUGGUCACUUUUAUGACUAAGCUAUUUGAACAGUCUGUUGAACCUUGACUCACUGCAUUAACUGAAACGGCCUCAAUUACAUUCUAGGCAAGGCAAAUUACUUUUGUAAGUCAAAGAUUCUCAUAAAUUAUUUUCCUUGUAGACUAAUGGUCUGUGAAGACUCAAAUCUUUCAAAGAGUUGUACGUAUUGUUUUCUGUGUACUCGGGUCCAGUUGGGAAAUUACAGCUUGUUUCAAGGCUUCGACCAAUUCAGACUACGUUAAAGUACCAUUUAAGUCUUCUUCUGACCAGAUGUUUUGUGGGCAUCAGUGCAAAACAGCAUUAUAUCUUUUACAAAUAUUAUGAGUGAUGAACAUUUCAUGCUCUGGUUUAUUUUCAAGUUUGGGGAGAGGUCAAAUUAAAUAAUAUCCAUUUAUAAUAAUUAUGAUAAACUACCAUCUUUUGCCAUAUCCCACUUGACAUAGCCCAGUCAUUGUGAUAAAUGCCUUACACACUUACUUAGCAAUCUUCAAAACCCUUUGAGGGAAAUGAGAAAACCAAGGCAAGAGCGCUCAAUAACUUACCAAAGUAACACAGCUGGUAUGCGAAGAAGUUAGAAUUCAAACCCAGACCUGGUUGAUCAAAACCUGCAUUUUUAAUUUCUCUUCCAUUAAAUGGGUGUAAUUGUUUUCAUAAAGUCACAUGGUUGGUGUGUUAGGCAAGAUGGUUUAUUGCAAGUGAUAGAACCCAGCUUAAAAGAGCUUGCUAAAAUGAAGCAAAAAAAAAAAAAAAAAACAUGUUGGAAAGGUAUAGGGAUGAUCCACAGAAUUUUAAAAAGUGCUAAAGUAACCAUAGUUGUUUCAGAGGUCAGAGAUUGGAACCAGGAUCUGGAAUAAAAUCAGAUCUAUUUCUCUUUUCAUUUCCUGUAUUAUGGUAGACCCAGAAAUUUUAAACAUGCUAUUUUAUAUCUUUGCAAAAAUUUUCUGGAUAAGCUGCCAUUAUUUCUUUUGACAGCUGAGAUAAUGAACACAUAGUAAGUGAAUUAAUUUGUUGA